GGUGGCUCAGUGGUAGAGUGUUUGCCUUGUGCGCAGGAGGCCCUGGGUUCGAUUCCUCAGCACCA
rnacentral:tRNA from 1 species